AGAGUUUGAUCAUGGCUCAGGAUGAACGCUGGCGGCGUGCGUAACACAUGCAAGUUGAGCGACGACGUGCUGGAAGUGGCGACAUGGAAGGCAUGAGCGGAGCAGCGGACGGGUGAGUAUAACAUGAGAAGCUGUCCAAUGGCGGGGGGCAACGUCUGGAAACGGACGCUAAUACCCCAUAAGCCGAGAGGUAAAAGCCGAAAGGCGCCAAGGGAGGCGCUCGUGCCCUAUCAGCUAGUUGGUGAGGUAAUGGCUCACCAAGGCGACGACGGGUAGCCGGCCUGAGAGGGUGACCGGCCACACUGGGACUGAGAUACGGCCCAGACUCCUACGGGAGGCAGCAGUGGGGAAUAUUGGGCAAUGGGAGAAAUCCUGACCCAGCGACGCCGCGUGAACGAAGAAGGCCUUCGGGUCGUAAAGUUCUUUUAUGGGGGAAGAAGGAAGUGACGGUACCCCAUGAAUAAGCCCCGGCUAACUACGUGCCAGCAGCCGCGGUAAUACGUAGGGGGCGAGCGUUGUCCGGAAUUACUGGGCGUAAAGGGCACGCAGGCGGUGCGUCAAGUCAGCUGUAAAAGGAUGCGGCUUAACCGUAUUAUGCAGUUGAGACUGAAGUACUGGAGUGCUGGAGAGGCAAGUGAAAUUCCCAGUGUAGCGGUGAAAUGCGUAGAUAUUGGGAAGAACAUCGGUGGCGAAGGCGACUUGCUGGCCAGUAACUGACGCUGAGGUGCGAAAGCCAGGGUAGCAAACGGGAUUAGAUACCCCGGUAGUCCUGGCCGUAAACGAUGAAUGCUAGGUGUGCGUGCAGAGAUGCAGGUGUGCCGCAGUUAACGCGAUAAGCAUUCCGCCUGGGGAGUACGGUCGCAAGAUUGAAACUCAAAGGAAUUGACGGGGGCCCGCACAAGCGGUGGAGCACGUGGUUUAAUUCGAUGCAAACCGAAGAACCUUACCUGGGUUUGACAUCCCGAGAAGUCGGAGUAAUGUCCGACGUGCCCUCCGGGGAAUUCGGAGACAGGUGGUGCAUGGUUGUCGUCAGCUCGUGUCGUGAGAUGUUGGGUUAAGUCCCGCAACGAGCGCAACCCUUACUGUUAGUUGCUACGCAAGAGCACUCUAACAGGACUGCCGUUGACAAAACGGAGGAAGGUGGGGACGACGUCAAAUCAUCAUGCCCCUUACGCUCUGGGCCUCACACGUACUACAAUGGCGUAAACAAAGGGGAGCAAUGCCGCGAGGCGGAGCAAAUCCCAAAAUAACGUCCCAGUUCAGAUUGCAGGCUGCAACUCGCCUGCAUGAAGUUGGAAUUGCUAGUAAUCGCGGAUCAGCAUGCCGCGGUGAAUACGUUCCCGGGCUUUGUACACACCGCCCGUCAAACCAUGAAAGUCGGGAAGACCUGAAGUCUGUGUCCCAACCGCAAGGAGGGAGCAGCCGAAGGUCGGUUCGAUGAUUGGGGUUAAGUCGUAACAAGGUAACCGUA
rnacentral:rRNA from 1 species